CUUUUUUUCCGGGAGCUUGCUCCACCGGAAAAGAAGAGUGGCGAACGGGUGAGUAACACGUGGGUAACCUGCCCAUCAGAAGGGGAUAACACUUGGAAACAGGUGCUAAUACCGUAUAACAAUCGAAACCGCAUGGUUUUGAUUUGAAAGGCGCUUUCGGGUGUCGCUGAUGGAUGGACCCGCGGUGCAUUAGCUAGUUGGUGAGGUAACGGCUCACCAAGGCCACGAUGCAUAGCCCACCUGAGAGGGUGAUCGGCCACAUUGGGACUGAAACACGGCCCAAACUCCUACGGGAGGCAGCAGUAGGGAAUCUUCGGCAAUGGACGAAAGUCUGACCGAGCAACGCCCCGUGAGUGAAGAAGGUUUUCGGAUCGUAAAACUCUGUUGUUAGAGAAGAACAAGGAUGAAAGUAACUGUUCAUCCCUUGACGGUAUCUAACCAGAAAGCCACGGCUAACUACGUGCCAGCAGCCGCGGUAAUACGUAGGUGGCAAGCGUUGUCCGGAUUUAUUGGGCGUAAAGCGAGCGCAGGCGGUUUCUUAAGUCUGAUGUGAAAGCCCCCGGCUCAACCGGGGAGGGUCAUUGGAAACUGGGAGACUUGAGUGCAGAAGAGGAGAGUGGAAUUCCAUGUGUAGCGGUGAAAUGCGUAGAUAUAUGGAGGAACACCAGUGGCGAAGGCGGCUCUCUGGUCUGUAACUGACGCUGAGGCUCGAAAGCGUGGGGAGCAAACAGGAUUAGAUACCCUGGUAGUCCACGCCGUAAACGAUGAGUGCUAAGUGUUGGAGGGUUUCCGCCCUUCAGUGCUGCAGCUAACGCAUUAAGGCACUCCCGCCCUGGGGAGUACGACCCGCAAGGUUGAAACUCAAGGAAUUUGACUGGGGGCCCCGCCACAGCGUGUAGCCAUGUGGAUUAUCGAAAGCACCGCGGAGAAUCCUUUACCCCGAAG
rnacentral:rRNA from 1 species